GCCAGUGUGAUGUAGUGGUUUGAGCACUGGACUACAACUCUGGAAUCCAGGGUUCAAAUCCAUCCUUUGGCC